GGUGAGUCCAUUGCAUUGGCAGCCCAUUCCAAUGUCUAAUCACCCUUUCUGUGAAGAAAUUCUUCCUAAAGAGGAAGCACCUCCAUGAGCUCCACUCCUUGUUCAGUCCUGCUGGAAUGAUUGCUGCUGAUUUGUUGACAUCCAUUGGUUCAACAUACCCAAGUGUGCGAAACAAUAAAGGUGCCAGACCUAAGUGGGUUCCAGCAAAGAACGUCAAACCAUAUUGCACAGGAGAACAUGCUGGUGAGUCCAAGAGCAGAGAGACAAGCACAGAGAUGUGAAACAAACAGAGAGCCCACGAGUCCUUCCUGACAAACCUUGUUCACCUGUGGAACCUGCAAACCCUGAUUUUUGCAUCAUUGUGAAAAAUGUGUAAAUUGUUGAUUUCAUGGACUCCUUUGGCAAAAACAUGGUAUUUUUCUGCUGUAGAGAGUAUAUCCCCCCACUGAAUUUGCAAAGGUGAAAUUACCCCUUCUUUUUUUUGUCAUAGGUAGCUAGUCCCCAAGCAAAUUUGAGAAAGCACAAGAGGAGAAUUUGGGAAAUAAGAUAUCUGGAAAGGUCAUUUGCCAAAAAAUAGCUCACGAAAGCUAUGGAGCUGAAUGAAGUAUUAUGCUGGUACCUGCUGGUCUUGCUUUUUCUGUGCAGAGCAGAUUUGCCUGUAGAACAAUGAAAAACAAAUGUUUGCCUUAGCCAAGGCUGCAGGCUCAGACACCAUAUGCCUGUCCGAUUCAAAUCCAGAAUUUUCAACCUGUCUAGUUGGUGUGCCAGUAAAAGAUUGGCCAAUAUCCAUAUAUUAUGAUCCCUUGACCAAAACGGGAGCAAUCUUGUGACUGAUUGGAACAUUUGGACCAAAGGACUUCCUAAAGCAGAGUCUGAACCCCAAGAACUGGAAAUUCUUGGUUCUUUGACAAUGGAUUUUCAGCUAGCAAUUCAUGAGAGAAUGAUUCUCCAAAGUGCAAUGUCACUCCCAAUUAUCCUCCUCAUAGGAAUUACAGUUUUUGGUGGAAUUACUCAGACAGUUGGGGUAAAUUUUCCAGGGCUGACCAAUAUCCAUGACAAUUACCAAAAGGAUAUUGGUUCAUUUGUGGAGAUAGGGCUUGGCAAGGCAUUCCAUCACACCUUGAAGGUGGUCCAUGCAGCAUUGGAGAACUCACUAUGCUAGCACCUAAAACAGUCAUUAAGAAAAAACAUAGAGGAAAAAGAUUUAUCCACUGGUAUGAUGAAAAUUGUUAGAAUAAUUUUAGACCCCGAAAGGGUGCAGAAAGAGCUUCAGCAGGUUUGCUACUACCCCAGCUUGCCUCAGCAAUGGCAUUGAAACAAUUGGAUCAGGUAAGAUGUUAGCUGAGUAAACAGACCAAUGCCACAUACAUUGCAGUCAGUGAUAUGCUGACUGAUGUCAGUGGUGUUAGACAUGCUACCCUUCAAAAGGUAGAGCAGCAAUUGAUUUUCUCUUACUGGCACAUGGACAUAGUUGUGAGGAGUUUGAAGGAUUAUAUUGUAUGAACUUUUCUGACCACUCUGAGUCCAUCCACAAAAGCAUACAAAAGCUGGAGGAUUUAACAUCUCAAAUUAAAAGAGAAAAUGAAUUAUGGUUAGACAAUUUGUUCGAAGGAUGGAACUUUGUAACUUGGUUAAAGCAGCUUUGCAAAAUAGGCUUGUACGUUUUAAUGGUUGUGGUGAUAUUAGCAAUAAUGCCUUGUAUGCUUCAGUGUGUUUGAUGAGUGAUGAACAAAGCUGUCGAAGUUUUUAUUGUACAAGGAACCACAGUAAGUUCUCAAAAUCUUACAAAGGUAGUAGAUGCAAGUAUAGAUAUAGAUGAAGGCUUUGAAUUAAGACCCUCUAAUGGACAGGCCUUAUUUGAAUAAGAAUAAUUAUUUUAUACAUAUUUUAUAUAUUUAUAAUAUAUAUACUUAUAUUAUAAUAAUAUAUAUUGUUAUGUAUAUAACAUAUAUAUUUAUAUAAUAUAAUAUAAUAUUUAUGUAUUACUUAUUUGAAUCCUUGGAAUAGACCAGAUCUUUACAGCCAUAAAAUUGCUGUGGUUUAAAAUAUCAGUGCUUAAAGUGACUAAGAGAAGUACCUUAAACAAGCAAAGAGGAAUACAUUAAGUAUUAAAAGGCUUUAAGUUUUGCUGAUGUACCUUUGUGUAGAAAAAGUAUUGCAGCAGACCUGUGUAACACAAGGUAGUUAAUAAGCGACAAAGUUAAGAAAGUUUCUUUGUGGUUGUUCCGAGAGGGGGAAUUGUGGGAAACAGUAAAGGUAAGAAGAUUUUCAGAAGCUGUGAAAAUGGGCAUCAGAAAGAAAAAGCAGAGAACUUAGAGAUAGCUGCAGCUGCAAGGCCUGAAAGUAAAGAAAUACAAUAACACAAUAUGCAAGGAUGUUAAACAACAGUUGAGUUUUUAGGCUUGGCCAAGAUAGACCUUAAGACUGCAGAAAAAUAUGCUUACCAAGACAGUAGAAAGCUUUAAGUUUAACACUGUGUUAUUCUAUUUCUAUUGUUAAUAGAAAGCUUGUUUUCUUUCUGUUAACAAUAAAUGAUUGUUUUUAAGCUUUAGCAAUAUGCUAUUGGCUGAAAAAAUGAUAAAAUGUUCUGUAACAAAGAGAUCUUGAGCUGCUUGUGGCAGACGUGAGCUUGUGCCAUCUCCUGUAUCUGCAGCUGAGACUGGUGCCUGAAAUAAAAGCUUGUGAUGUGUCACCCAGCAGUCCCAUCCCAUUUGUGAAAAAUAACCUCCAACACCCAUGCUGGCUUCAAACCAGUUAGUCUUGAACCAUGAUGGCAGCCUAGGCUGGGGUGAUUCUUGUAGUGUAAUUCUUCCUCUUAUUGUGCUGUACAUCUCCACCCCUUCAUCAAUAGACAAUGUGGUUCACUUAAAACAAUUUGGGGAAUGUUCAAAAUUAAAUGAAUAGAGCUGCUGUACAUACUCAGAUUAUUUGGACGUGAGUCAGCACAGAACCAACUUGACUGGAAGCUGUCAUCACUAGGUAAGACAAUGGGUAACUUUGCCAAAUACAAGAUCCCAAUUUCCACCUCAGGUGCAGGUGGGAGAAUUAUUUGUUAUACAUGAAUAUUAUAUAUUACAUAUUUUUAUAAUACUCAUAUGUGUGUGUAUAUAUAUAUAUAUAU